UGGGGAAUAUUGCACAAUGGGCGCAAGCCUGAUGCAGCCAUGCCGCGUGUAUGAAGAAGGCCUUCGGGUUGUAAAGUACUUUCAGCGGGGAGGAAGGCGAUAAGGUUAAUAACCUUGUCGAUUGACGUUACCCGCAGAAGAAGCACCGGCUAACUCCGUGCCAGCAGCCGCGGUAAUACGGAGGGUGCAAGCGGUAAUCGGAUUUACUGGGCGUAAAGCGCACGCAGGCGGUCUGUCAAGUCGGAUGUGAAAUCCCCGGGCUCAACCUGGGAACUGCAUUCGAAACUGGCAGGCUAGAGUCUUGUAGAGGGGGGUAGAAUUCCAGGUGUAGCGGUGAAAUGCGUAGAGAUCUGGAGGAAUACCGGUGGCGAAGGCGGCCCCCUGGACAAAGACUGACGCUCAGGUGCGAAAGCGUGGGGAGCAAACA
rnacentral:rRNA from 1 species